CAGACGAAGUGUCGCGAUAGGAUAAUCACGUGACUGGGAUACCGCCAGCAGGACCCCGGGUUGGGCAAGGAAUGGUGGCGGCAACGGGAGCCUUGAGUGUUUCAGGUGGUGGGAAUGUGGAACAUAUCACGGUGCCCAAGCAUAUCCAAUUAUUACCAAUAGUUGUGGAAACUAAGAAAGUAAAUGGAUUCAGAGACCUCUGAAGUGUACCUGAUUUCCUCCCUUUCUAGAAGAGAAGUGAAACAACAACAACAACAACAACAACAACAGCAGCAGCAACAACAACAACAAAACAAUAUGGUUUAUGGUCCACAGCUUCUCCAAAAGCAAAGAUCUUAUAAAUGUCAGGGUGCUCUGUCUAUAGCCCAGGAGUACAAAACCAACAAAACAAUUGGGUGGCCUGCCUGGGAAAUAGAGUCUAUUUAGUACCUAGUGAUGGUUACUGUCUUUUCUAACCCUUUCUCUAUCUCCUCCUCAUCUCUCACCUUCUCUUUGCUCUCCCUCUCCCCUUUUCCUUUUUUCUUUCUCUCUCUCCUUCUUCCUUUUUUUUCUCCCCUUUCUCUUUUUUCCUCUCCCUUCCCCCCUUUUUUUCUCUUUCCCCCAACUCUCUUCUUCCCUCUUUCCCCCACUCUACACAUGCACAUACAUGCACACACACAUACACAUGAUAUGGGACCUAGGUUUCUGUGGUAUAAAACCAUGUUAGGCAGAGGAGCCAUCUUACCACGCUGUCUCAGAACCAGAGGGGACACUGGUGCCCAUGAGUAGAGAAAGGGGGAAGGUCUGAAUAAUUGCAGGUCUUCUAGAAGUUUCUACAUGCUAAUAGACACAGAUUCCCUGCAGCAUGGAGCAUAUAGGAAGUCCAUAUCAAUGGUUUCCAUAUCAACAGUUUCCCUCUCCUCCAAGGAUUCCUCAGGAACUAUCCUCUAAGAGGCAUAUAGUAUCCUUCAUACAUGGCAUUGUAACCUUCUGUUAAGUAGUGACUUGGGCCUUAGCAGGAACUUCUUGAGUGGCUUUUUUCUCUUGUUGAGAUCUUCUGCCAUUUAAGCUAAAGAUGCUUUAUAGUUUCAAUUUCUACUCCUCACCUCUUGACCACUCAGUGUGAAAGAAUGAACUCCUAUUAUAAUUGGCACUGAUUUCUUCCAUUAACCUAAACAUAAGUAUGUUCCUGUGGCAAUAGAAAGCCUACUUUGCAUUUAACAAGUUCAAUUGGCUAAAGUCAUCACAUGAUUUUAACAAACUAUUAUCAUCAAGUUUACAUAGCCUCCUGUAUACAGAUUACCAAGUACCUACCUCAGACUUCCCCUCAGGAAAGGAAAUAGUAUGCACUCAUGUUUCUCUUACACCAUUACUUUGCAGUUUUUCCAUAAACAUUUUCUACCCCUCUGUUCUACCCUUCUUGUUCUGUGUCUGAAUAUUACUGUGGAUUCUUUGUUUUUCUUCUUAGUCCUUUUGGACUGCUAUAAUAUAGUCCCAGAGACUGGGUGGCUUAUAAAUAUGAGUUUAUUUCUUUUAGUGUUAGAGGCUGGAAGUCUAAGAUUAGGUUGCUAGUAUAGCUGGGUUCUGGUAAAGUUCCUCUUCUGGGUUGCAGACUGCCUACUUCCCCCUUCACAUGGGAGAAGAGGGCAAGGAAUCUCUCUGGAGCCUCUCUUACAAAGGCAGUAAUUCCACUAAUCCUAUUUAUGAGGAGUCUGCUCUCAUGACCUAAAUUACCUCCCAAAGGCCUCACCUGCAAAUACCAUCACAUUGGGCAUUAUAAUUUCAAUGUAUGAAUUUUGAGGGAGGACACAAACAUUCAGACCAUAGCAGCUUCUCCACUUGGGUUUUUGGCCUUAAAAUGUGUUCUGGGUUUUAAUAAUUCUUUUUCUUUUAUCUUACACUGGGCCUUCAAAGUCUGGCUUUUCACUUAUUCCUUCUCUAGCCUUGUCUUUCCUCCCUCUAUCUCUUUUGUAGUUGGAUAUUUCUUGCUGUCUUUCCCUUCCUCCUUUUUCUCCAGCCACCCUUUAGCCAACUUCUAUAUCUGUACCUCUAGCAAGAGUGACUCUGUGCUGGAAAUAAAUGCCUUCCUAGCCUAUACAGGAAAGUAAUAAGACUAGAUUUUCUUGGGAUUGGAAAAGAGAUUGUGUGUGUGUGUGUGU